rnacentral:rRNA from 1 species
UACGUAGGUGACAAGCGUUGUCCGGAUUUACUGGGCGUAAAGAGCGCGCAGGCGGUCGUUCAAGUCGCGUGUGAAAGCCCCCGGCUCAACUGGGGAGGGUCACGCGAUACUGAUCGACUCGAAGGCAGGAGAGGGAAGUGGAAUUCCCGGUGUAGUGGUGAAAUGCGUAGAUAUCGGGAGGAACACCAGUGGCGAAGGCGAGUCCCUGGACAACUCCUGACACUGAGGCACGAAAGCUAGGGGAGCAAACAGG